rnacentral:rRNA from 1 species
UACGAAGGGGGGCUAGCGUUGCUCGGAAUCACUGGGCGUAAAGGGCGCGCAGGCGGCCCUUGAAGUCAGGCGUGAAAGCCCCGGGCUCAACCUGGGAGGUGCGCUUGAUACUCGAGGGCUUGAGUGCGGGAGAGGAGAGUGGAAUUCCCAGUGUAGAGGUGAAAUUCGUAGAUAUUGGGAAGAACACCGGUGGCGAAGGCGGCUCUCUGGACCGUAACUGACGCUGAGGCGCGAAAGCGUGGGGAGCGAACAGG